rnacentral:rRNA from 1 species
UACGUAGGUGGCAAGCGUUGUCCGGAUUUAUUGGGCGUAAAGGGAGCGUAGGCGGACUUUUAAGUGAGAUGUGAAAUACUCAGGCUCAACCUGGGGGCUGCAUUUCAAACUGGAAGUCUAGAGUGCAGGAGAGGAGAGUGGAAUUCCUAGUGUAGCGGUGAAAUGCGUAGAGAUUAGGAAGAACACCAGUGGCGAAGGCGACUCUCUGGACUGUAACUGACGCUGAGGCUCGAAAGCGUGGGGAGCAAACAGG